rnacentral:sRNA from 1 species
GCUGGGCAUGGUGUUGCAUGCCUGUAAUCCCAGCAGUUCCAGAGGCUGAGGCAGGAGGAUCAAAGCCAGCCUCAGCAAUAGCAGGCACUAAGCAACUCAGUUGAGACCCUGUCUCUA